GACGAACGCUGGCGGCGUGCUUAACACAUGCAAGUCGAACGGAAAGGCCCCUUUUGGGGUACUCGAGUGGCGAACGGGGGAGUAACACGCGAGUAACCUGCCCUUGACUUCGGGAUAACUUCAGGAAACUGGGGCUAAUACCGGAUAGGAAUCCUUGCUGCAGGGUGGGGGUUGGAAAGCUUCGGCGGUUUUGGAUGGACUCGCGGCGUAUUUGCUUGUUGGUGGGGUAGUGGCUUACCAAGGCUUUGACGGGUAGCGGGCCUGAGAGGGCGACCGGCCACAUUGGGACUGAGAUACGGCCCAGACUCCGACGGGAGGCAGCAGUGGGGAAUAUUGCUCCAUGGGCGGCAGCCUGAUGCAGCAACGCCGCGUGCGGGAUGACGGCCUUCGGGUUGUGAACCGCUUUCAGCAGGGGCGAAGCUUGUGGUGACGGUACCUGCAGAAGAAGCACCGGCUAACUACGUG
rnacentral:rRNA from 1 species